rnacentral:rRNA from 1 species
GACGAACGCUGGCGGCGUGCCUAAUACAUGCAAGUCGAACGCUUCUUUCCUCCCGAGUGCUUGCACUCAAUUGGAAAGAGGAGUGGCGGACGGGUGAGUAACACGUGGGUAACCUACCCAUCAGAGGGGGAUAACACUUGGAAACAGGUGCUAAUACCGCAUAACAGUUUAUGCCGCAUGGCAUAAGAGUGAAAGGCGCUUUCGGGUGUCGCUGACGGAUGGACCCGCGGUGCAUUAGCUAGUUGGUGAGGUAACGGCUCACCAAGGCCACGAUGCAUAGCCGACCUGAGAGGGUGAUCGGCCACACUGGGACUGGGACACGGCCCAGACUCCUACGGGAGGCAGCAGUAGGGAAUCUUCGGCAAUGGACGAAAGUCUGACCGAGCAACGCCGCGUGAGUGAAGAAGGUUUUCGGAUCGUAAAACUCUGUUGUUAGAGAAGAACAAGGACGUUAGUAACUGAACGUCCCCUGACGGUAGCUAAUCAGAAAGCCACGGCUAACUACGUG